rnacentral:snRNA from 1 species
AAACCCUCUCAAGGGGAAAUACCACGAUCACGAAGGUGGCUUUCCCAGGGCGAGGCUUAUCCAUUGCAUGUGGGAUGUGCUGAGCCCUGAGAUUUCCCCAAAUGCGGGGAAACUCGACUGCAUAAUUUGCAGUAGUGGGGGACUGCAUUCAUGCUCUCCCUUA